CGGAAAAUGCAGGGUGCGCACCUAGGGCGAGGGACUAGCUGGGAAGGGUGUGCCUGUGCUUGGGGAUGGGAGCAGGAAGUGUCUGGGACCUCGUCGCCCCCCGCGGCGGUGUAUAAACCCGGGCGGGCCGUCAGAGCGGAGCUUCAGAGCAGAGACAAGAGCCCAGAAAGGAGCAGAUGCUAGAUUUGCAAGAUCAGAAGCAGGUCUUGAUCCUCCUGCCCAGAAUGAACCAGACUUGAUGAUGAUGCCACCUUCAGGAGCCACCACACUGUGUGACAGUGGGGCAUUUGGGCCGUCCCUGGGAAGUACAGAUGCGCUGCUGUCACACAUGUCCACCACCACAUGUGACAUUAGUGACGUUAUCCUGAUGUCACAGGAUCCAAGAAUGAUGAUCUGUGAAGAGUUUUCCGAGGUCACCUACUUCUAACUCUUUUGAAAGAUUUAAAGACAUUGGGCCUGAAAAUUUCAGUGACUUGUCCAGGGAAACGCAGUUUGUGACAGUUCACUCUCUCACAGCUGAACCACAGUCCUCUGUACUCGCCCAGGAGCCACAGAAGUGAACAUCCCUCAGGUAUGAAGGUCUUCUUGAGCAUUUCCUGUUUGGGGUGUCUUGUGGCGAUGAACUACCUCAGCUUUUGUUUAUGUGGGAAAGUUUUUAUUUCU